UGAGCAAUCUGCCCUUGACUCUGGAAUAACAGUUGGAAACAGCUGCUAAUACCGGAUACGACCUCCGACGGCAUCAUCUGGAGGUGGAAAGCUCCGACGGUCAAGGAUGGGCUCGCGGCCUAUCAGCUUGUUGGUGAGGUAACGGCUCACCAAGGCUUCGACGGGUAGCCGGCCUGAGAGGGCGACCGGCCACACUGGGACUGAGAUACGGCCCAGACUCCUAGGAG
rnacentral:rRNA from 1 species